rnacentral:rRNA from 1 species
GCCCCGGUAAACGGCGGCCGUAACUAUAACGGUCCUAAGGUAGCGAAAUUCCUUGUCGGGUAAGUUCCGACCUGCACGAAUGGCGUAAUGAUGGCCAGGCUGUCUCCACCCGAGACUCAGUGAAAUUGAACUCGCUGUGAAGAUGCAGUGUACCCGCGGCAAGACGGAAAGACCCCGUGAACCUUUACUAUAGCUUGACACUGAACAUUGAGCCUUGAUGUGUAGGAUAGGUGGGAGGCUUUGAAGUGUGGACGCCAGUCUGCAUGGAGCCGACCUUGAAAUACCACCCUUUAAUGUUUGAUGUUCUAACGUUGGCCCGUAAUCCGGGUUGCGGACAGUGUCUGGUGGGUAGUUUGACUGGGGCGGUCUCCUCCUAAAGAGUAACGGAGGAGCACGAAGGUUGGCUAAUCCUGGUCGGACAUCAGGAGGUUAGUGCAAUGGCAUAAGCCAGCUUGACUGCGAGCGUGACGGCGCGAGCAGGUGCGAAAGCAGGUCAUAGUGAUCCGGUGGUUCUGAAUGGAAGGGCCAUCGCUCAACGGAUAAAAGGUACUCCGGGGAUAACAGGCUGAUACCGCCCAAGAGUUCAUAUCGACGGCGGUGUUUGGCACCUCGAUGUCGGCUCAUCACAUCCUGGGGCUGAAGUAGGUCCCAAGGGUAUGGCUGUUCGCCAUUUAAAGUGGUACGCGAGCUGGGUUUAGAACGUCGUGAGACAGUUCGGUCCCUAUCUGCCGUGGGCGCUGGAGAACUGAGGGGGGCUGCUCC